GUUUUUUUUUGUUUUGUUUUUUUUUUUUUUUUUUUGCUGUGGUGACGAUUAAAUCGACGAGCUCUAGGUAAAGACGAGCGAGGUCGUCUCGGCGAUUUAAAUCGCGAUCCGGUUUUGUGGUGGUUUCGUUUCGGGCAAUCGUAGCGCAGGUAGCCGGGCCGGGAACCUGUUUGUGUGUGUCGACGGCCUUCAGCGAGUUUUUGGAAAUGCGCUUCCGGUCGUCGUAGAGUGCGGUAUAUUUUUGUGCGGGAGGAACGAGAGAAGCGAGGAAGGGUGGGGGCAGGAAAGAAACGACGAAGGAAUUUUGCGGAAAAUUGUGCCAUUGUCGUGAUAACUAUACAUACGGUGUUUAGAGUAGUCUCGUCAUAUCGGAAUCGCUGAAUAGACAAGAACUUCUUUCUCGUAUAAUGCUGAUAAUCAACAAUCGAAUCGACGAUUUCGCCUCUUUUUAAAUUUCUUUGUCAUUUCAGCUUAGCCUCUGACAGAGAUUUUUUCUUCUUAAUACGGAAUUAUUUUCGCCGCAACAUUAUAUUAACAAGAUCUAUGAAGACUCGCAAAUAUAAAACGCAAAAAGAGAAAAAUCCUGGAAUUAUACACGAUUCGAAAACAGCUGAUUGGAGAAUAAUUGAUUUAUAACUCGGGGAACACAUGGAUUCACGAUAUGAUCGAUGAUUUUUGAUCGAGAGUCUAUUAUAAGCUUGCAGAUUAUCGAGAGAACGGAUUCGAGAUCGAAUGUACGGCGAAGAUUCGCAGUGAUUUCGAAAUUGAACGCUUCACGCUACAUCGCGUCUGAUGCGAGGGAAAAAAAGGCGCCGACGACGACGACGACGAGAUUGUAUAUCGAGAAGCUAUAGCUACGUGACCGAGCAAGGCAAACCGGAGCGAGUCUCGCGGAGAACGGAAUGAAGAAGGGAAAUUCGCGACGAGGAGAGAAACGGGAUUCUUCCUUUGAAUGUUAUGCAUUUGUGUUAGGAUAAGAGAGAGAAACUCAAAGUUUAAAUAUCAGAGGCGAAAUUUAAAAAGCGGCAAACACUCAGCUUGAUGAUUGAUUAUCGGUAUUAUACAGGGAUAUAUAUCGAGCAAGAACCAGAGAAAGGCAAUGUACAAAUUGAUUUCUGUAGAUUUUAAAGCAACAUUCUCAAGAUUACACUUUCUACAUAAAGAGCAUUAAGAAGCACUAUAUCAAACGUCAGUUAAAACAAUUGUAUUCUUUCCUUUUUAACGGAAAACAUCGACGACGAAAAGAACGAAAGAAACGCCUUUCGAACAAUAAAAGUGCAACGGUUUUCUUGACCAGCUUAACAAAAGGAGGACAUCUUUUGUCACGUGUUAACAUCGGUCAACGGUCUCACUUUGAACGAGCAAUCUCGUCUUUACGCAAGAGACGGCGAUCCAUUGAUUGCGCGUUCACCGCAUAUACGGUAUGCAUGAUGCGUUUGCGGCGGAGUUGCUUGCGACACGUUUAUCCGACACGACGCGAUCCUGCAUGAUACACCUGUGAAGACGGGGGGUUGUUCGAGGAGGAAGGGAUGCAGAAUCUCAGAUCGCGGAUCGGCGGAAGUGUGCGGCGAGGGAGCGACCCGUGAGAGAAUCGUCCUCUUAGACGCGUGCGAGAGGAUAAAGGAAGAGACGUCACCCUCUCUACGGUACGCAGGAUGGACAGGAGCGAUAACAAUGUCGUCGGGGUCGGCGGCGGAAGCGGGAAUGGAGGCAGCGGCGGCACCGGCGGCGGCUGUCACGUGGGAAACUCCGGAUCCCCGCCAAACUCCAUCUCGUCGACCCACGGCACCGUGCUCAAUUCUACCGGCGGGCUCGAC